rnacentral:rRNA from 1 species
AGUGAACGCUGGCGGUAGGCCUAACACAUGCAAGUCGAACGGCAGCACAGUAAGAGCUUGCUCUUACGGGUGGCGAGUGGCGGACGGGUGAGGAAUACAUCGGAAUCUACUUUUUCGUGGGGGAUAACGUAGGGAAACUUACGCUAAUACCGCAUACGACCUACGGGUGAAAGCAGGGGAUCUUCGGACCUUGCGCGAUUGAAUGAGCCGAUGUCGGAUUAGCUAGUUGGCGGGGUAAAGGCCCACCAAGGCGACGAUCCGUAGCUGGUCUGAGAGGAUGAUCAGCCACACUGGAACUGAGACACGGUCCAGACUCCUACGGGAGGCAGCAGUGGGGAAUAUUGGACAAUGGGCGCAAGCCUGAUCCAGCCAUACCGCGUGGGUGAAGAAGGCCUUCGGGUUGUAAAGCCCUGUUGUUGGGAAAGAAAAGCAGCAGGUUAAUACCCCGCUGUUCUGACGGUACCCAAAGAAUAAGCACCGGCUAACCUCGUG